GAUGAACGCUGGCAGAAGGCUUAACACAUCAGCGAUUGAUUGGUGGCGGACGGGCGAGUAACGCGUAAAGAACUUACCUCCCAGUUAGGGACAAGAUUUGGAAACGACUGCUAAUACCUAAUACUGUGAGAGAGCUUUGCGUCCCAGUAGCUAGUGGGCGAGGUAACGGCUCACGAAGGCGAUGAUGGGUAGCCGGCCUGGGAGGGUGAUCGGCCACAAGGCAACUGAGACACGGCCCUGACGCUUACGUGAAGCAGCAGUUGGGAACUAUCGACAAUGGACCAAAAUCUUAUCCAGCAAUUCUUUGUGCACUAUGAAGUUCUCGGAAAUAAAAGUGCUGUGAGUUAGGAAGCGGUACCAACAGAAGAAGUGUCGGCUAACUCCGUGCCAGCAGCCGCGGUAAUUC
rnacentral:rRNA from 1 species